rnacentral:rRNA from 1 species
UUUUCAAAAACAUUUCUUUUUGUUUACAUGAAAAGUAAAGCCUGCCCACUGAAGUUUGAAGGGCCGCGGUAUAUUGACCGUGCUAAGGUAGCAUAAUCAUUAGUCUUUUAAUUAAGGAAUAGAAUGAAUGGUUAAACUUAGGUGUGUUGUGUGAGUUAAUUAUUUUUGAAUUUUAAAUUUAAGUGAAAAUGCUUAAUUUUGGUAAAAAGACGAUAAGACCCUAUAGAGCUUGAUUUUGAAAAUUAAUGUCAAUUAUAGUUGUGGGGAGAUUUUAUUUUUUAAAGUUUAAUUGGGGCAAUUAAAGAAUAGAAAAAACUUCUUUGAAUUCUUAGAUCUUAAAAUUUAAAAAUGAAAAAGUUACCUUAGGGAUAACAGCGUAAUGUUUAUUGAGAGUUCUUAUCGACAUAAUUGUUUGCGACCUCGAUGUUGAAUUAAAAUUUCUGUUUGGGGCAGUUCUUAUAAUAGAUGGUCUGUUCGACCAUUAAAAUUUUACAUGAUUUGAGUCCAGACCGGA